GUAAACGAUGAGUGCUAAGUGUUGGAGGGUUUCCGCCCUUCAGUGCUGCAGCUAACGCAUUAAGCACUCCGCCUGGGGAGUACGACCGCAAGGUUGAAACUCAAAGGAAUUGACGGGGGCCCGCACAAGCGGUGGAGCAUGUGGUUUAAUUCGAAGCAACGCGAAGAACCUUACCAGGUCUUGACAUCCUUUGACACUUUUAGAGAUAGAAGGUUCCCUUCGGGGACAAAGAGACAGGUGGUGCAUGGUUGUCGUCAGCUCGUGUCGUGAGAUGUUGGGUUAAGUCCCGCAACGAGCGCAACCCUUAUUGUUAGUUGCCAGCAUUCAGUUGGGCACUCUAGCGAGACUGCCGGUGACAAACCGGAGGAAGGUGGGGAUGACGUCAAAUCAUCAUGCCCCUUAUGACCUGGGCUACACACGUGCUACAAUGGGCAGUACAAUGAGCUGCAAGACCGCGAGGUUAAGCGAAUCUCAUAAAGCUGCUCUCAGUUCGGAU
rnacentral:rRNA from 1 species